UGAAGAGGGCUUGAAAGGGUAAAUUAUUGGCAAAUAUAAAAGAAUAUUGAGAUUUAAAACAAUAACAAUGUCUUGUAAGGCUUAUGCAAAUGCAGAAGUAAAAUAUAUUACAAUAAUAAGACAAAGUGAGAGGAUAAAUGAAGUAAAACUGGUGUGGAUAUUUUAUUGCUGAGAAGUUGUAGAAAAUGAUAAUUAAAGGUAGAUGGUAAUAAAUCAAGGUUCUGUAUUAUAAUUUCAAAAGAAUAAUAAAGUAGGGCAAAACUGAAAUGCUAAUAGAUAAGAUAAAAUAGAGAAGGUAAAAGGGAAUAACAAAAUACUGGAUUAUUCAAUGUAUUUAAUCAAAUAAUUAAAUAUUUAAGGACACACUUUUAAAUAAGUCAGAAAAAAUGAAUUAAAAGAACAAAUAGAAAAAUAACAGAAAAAUGAUGGACUUACAACCAUCUAGAUCAGUAUAUUAUAGAUUGAAAUAGCCAUUUAAAAUUUUAAAAGUAGACUGAAUUACAAAAAUUAGAAUCAACUAUAUGUUGUUUACAAAAUGCACAAAAAACCCACCUUAAUUAUAAGGAAACAGAUUAAAAGUAAAAGGAUGGAAAAAGAUAUGUAAGAUAUGUAAAUUCUAAUAAAAAGAAAGCUAAUAUGGCUAUAGUAAAAUCAGAUUAUUAUGGCCUGACUUUGCUGCUGGGUCUGCUGUUCCCACCCCUUUAAAGCUGUUGGAUGUCAAACAUGCUACAUAAGAACCAGAGGCCACAAGUAAUUCAAACGUUUAUUCCUCAUUCAGGACUACACAAACUUAUGAAGUGUGAAGAGUCCCUGGGUGAGGUAGCCCACCACCUGAAAGAAGUCUCUCUAAUGUUUGGGUAGAGUGUGGGGGAGAUAAGAGGGAAGAGAGAGAGAUAGAGAGAGAGAAAGAGAGAGAGAGAGAGAGAGAGAGAGACCUGUGUGAUGUAGCUAAAGCAUUAAUCUGAGGGAAAUGUAUAGCUUUAAAUGCCUACGUAAAAAAAGAGAAUUUGAAAAAAUCAGUGAUUUCAGUUUCCAUCUCCAGAAGCUGGAAAAAUAGUAACUUAAGUCCAAUGUAAGUCAAAGGAAAAGUAUAAUAGAGCAGAAAUCAAUAAAAUACAAAGCAGAUAGCUGACAGAGAAAAUCAACAGACAAAAAGUUAAUACUUAGAAAAGGCUAAAAAAGAAAAAAGAGGUCAAACGCGAUGGCUCACGUCUAUAAUUCUAGCAUGGCAAAACCCUGUCUCUACAAAAAAUACAAAAAUUAGUUCGGUGUGGCGGUGCACUCCUGUAGUUGCAGCUACCCAGGAGGUUGAGGUGGGAGAAUCAUUUGACCCUGAGCGGUGGAGAUUGCAGUGAGCUGAGAUUGCGCAACUGCACUCCAGCCUGGGUGACAGAAUGGUACCCUGUCUCAAAAAAAGAAAAAAAAAGACCAGGAAAAAAGAAGAUAAAUAUGAAUGAUCAAUAUCAUGAAUGUAAAAGAGGACAUCACAAAACAUUAUACAGAAAUUAAAAACAUAAAAUAUUAUUUACAACUUUAUGCCAAUAAUAUUGACAACUUAGAGGAAAUUGACAAAAUUAUUGAAAAAUGCAACUUAUCAAAAUAGAUACAAGAAGAAUAGAAAAUCUUUA
rnacentral:lncRNA from 10 species